GGUAGCUGCCCAGGCAUAGGAGGCAAACCGAGAAACACCAUCUUCCAUGACGGGGUCCCUCCCGCUAGACACUUACGAGGCUUGUAGAACACAUUUUCCCCUCCUCACACAGCAGUGAGUUGCAAAGAGGCCAGUGUGUUUUGCUUUCUUUUCUGUCUCCCCGGGACGUUGAGGAGGCCCUGAGGAUUCUCCUUUACAGAAGAAACAACCAGUCUUCAAAGACACAGCCAAGUCAUUGAACGGGAAGGAGACUUCUGGGGACAAAUUGUGUCUGUCAGGUGAUACAGUCACCUGCUGUGGAAAUGAAAAUUCCAGCUCAAAAGCCGUUCCAUGUGCACAAAGAGGCUUCCUCCACCCCUACGGCUCUCUCACCCCUGAAUCCCAAGGGACACAUCUGUAAACACAUAUGCGUCAUCCCUUCCCAGACCUGCUGCUGCUGGAUGCUGAUGCCAGCCCAAGUCAGGUGAUUAAAGAUGUAAUCCCUCAGUUUCCUGUUCUGGCCGCCUGCUGACAUGCCCUCUCUGCUAUCAAGGACUCUCCCUCUGGAAGCAUAAGGCAAUCUCUUUCUUCCAUAAGUCACCUGUGGUCAUGGUGUUUUAUUGCAGCAACAAGAAGGAACAAAUACAAACUUCAUCAUAGACUACUACAUUUCUCAGUGCCCAACGUGAGAGCUGUCUUCUUGAGCUUCCGAGUACACAGCUCAACUACACUGGACAGCACGUGUCUAGGUCUUAUUUUGUGUGACUGGCACUUGAUCCUUGUUGGAACAAGCCAAUUCUCCAUGUGCCACUCACCUCCAGUGAGAAAGCAUGCUGUUCCCUUUUCCACGGGUCUGACCACUGUGGGUACAUCAUGUAAGCGUAAUCACCAAGUGCUUGUCUUUCUGUCUCUUGGCUUAUUUUACCCCUCCCGAGGACCUCCAGGUUCAUCUAUGCUGUGUCAUGUUGCAGGCUUUCUCCCCAAGGCGGAAGAGUAUUCCGUGAUGCGUGCAUACACUCGUUCCGUCUCCAGUGUCCCCCCUGACAGCUAGAUGGUCUCCACAGCUUGGCUAUUGUGAAUAACGCUGCUGUGAACAUGAGUGCUAAUGCAGCUGAGCCUUGGCCUUCAGGUCUCUCGAGUAAACGGCAGGUUGCCAGACCACAUGGUAGUUCAAAUUUUAACUUCUUGAAGAAAAACUGGCUGUGUCAUUUCCCAGCUUUACCAACGGUGUACAAAGGUUCUGAUUUCUCCACGGCCCCUUCAAUACUGACUAGUUUUUAAAAAUAGCCAUUUGAACAUGUGUGAGGCAAUAUGUUAUUGUGGCUUUGCUUUCCAUUUUCCUGAUGCUGAGUAAUGUCGGAUGUCUUUACAUUUCUGUUGGUCAGUAAA